rnacentral:rRNA from 1 species
CGAGACCUCAGGUCAGGCGGGACUACCCGCUGAGUUUAAGCAUAUCAAUAAGCGGAGGAAAAGAAACUAACAAGGAUU